GCGGCCAUAGUCUAGUCAGGUUAGGAUUUCGGCUUCCCGAGCCGAGGGCCCGGGUUCAAAUCCCGGUGGCCGCA
rnacentral:tRNA from 1 species